ensembl:lncRNA
GCUGAGCACGUAGCUGUUGUGACCUUUUUUCCCUGCAAGAAAAUAAACGGAGACAUAUUUGAUUCAGAGCCUUUAUUCUGAUUUUACGAUUGUCUGUGCAAAAUCUGCCAUCACAACACCAACAUGUUUGAAUGCGCUUGGAUAAAAAUGUACAUGGGGAAAGUCAGUAACAGUAUCUACGAAAGUAUCUUCGGCUACCGAAACUGAGGUCUGAGGGCACUAGGGGGCCGAGAAAAACCCCUAACCCUAGGGAAGUCCAAAACAAAAAAAAAGGGCAACCUAUCAUAAAAUAUUUAUAGAUUGUGGUCGAGAGAUGACGCGGCUAAACAGUGUUAAUAGCCGCGUCAUCUCUCGCCCACAAACAGGGUUAACACUACAGCCUUUUCUGUCAAGAUGGUGAUGCGGAUGAUUUCGUUAUGAGAAGUUGUCAAUUAACCAUUCGUGGACAAAGUUAAAGAGAUUUCUUAAAGUAAAAUACAACAGAGGGAAUCAUGUUAUAUUGCGUUUUAUAUAUUAACAGGAAGUUCUCAGUACCAAUUGAACUAUUGAACAUUGUAGGUUUCAAUCUGUCGCUAUCGUAUUGAAUACAUUUCAAUAUAAAGAUUUAAUAUUCUAUAACACAAAAUUUAUAAUACUAUUUUGACUUGCACACGUUGACAAGCAAACAGUGUGAAAGGUAACGACGUUACCUUGAAAUCCUCCGUCCUCCACAAUGCAGAUGAACAACAUACCAUGUUUGCAUACAUGUUUGUCACUCAGUCGUAACAGAGGUGAUGACUAUUUUGUUCUAGUUAAGGGUUAAAAUAGUGGUUUCUUAUGUUGAGAUUUUAUAUAUUUUGUAUUUCUAAAUAAAUUAAAAGAUUAAAAAAAAAAAAUGUUAGAUUCUAAAAAAAAACACUUGACAAGCAACAAUGAAAAAAAACAUUUCCAUGUAGGUGUCUGACUUCCCUUUCCUCUCUGACCCCAGUAUAUAAAGAGGAUGGGCAGAUAGCAAUCACUACACCACUACCGCUUGAACGCAACAAACAGAAGCUGUUUAAGAAGAGUAGAAGAACGAGACAACGCUGCAUGAUAAUGAAGUCUGUGUUUGCCCUUGUUGUCCUGUUGCAUCUCUGCGACGGCUCUACGUCAGACAUGGGGCUGAAUUCGGAGAUUAUAAUAAAACUGAAGCGUCUCAACACUCUCUUCCGUUCCGACAAAGUCGUAUUAGUGAGUAUAACGCAUUGAUACAUGUUCCUUAAUGACUGUCAUAAUUUGACAUACUACAUAUUCAGUGCUUUAUGGUUUAUUCAAUGCACUUUGUCCCCACAGCCAGACUUGAUGCGCUUGCCAAAUAUGAGCAAAACUCCAAAUCUAUCGUCCUGUGUGAAUCGCUUUGUGACGAACCUGAAACAGGUUCUUGACAAUGUGACGGUACACGGAGACAACCAGCAUACUCUCCAUGAACUUCAGGCAAAUCUGAGGUCCGUGAAGAUGGGUGAACAGGGUCACCCCGAAUGUUACACGAAGCUUCGAGGAAAGGAGAUGAAGCCUUUUCAGUCAUAUAUCAACUUCUUCCGGAAACUAAACAACCUAAAGAAAAAAUGAAGGAUUUUUUGAUUGUUUUAUGUAGGGGUUUUUCUGUGAUUGAUGAUUAGCUAUUUUAAAAUUAAUGAACCAAAUUUUGAACCAAUUGAGGUUGUUUUAACUAAUUAUUUUUAUUUAUUAUAUUUAUGUUUACAUAUUUAUUUAUUUAUUUAUUUACAGGAAACCAGAUUCCUAUGAUGAAUCAGUCAAUAAGAUGCAACAAAGUAAUAUUCACUAUGUGAAAAACAUUAUUUCAGUAGAGAUAUUUCAGUCAAAUGAAUAAACUACUUCAAUCAUUUGUUGAGACCUUUUCUAAAUCAUUCACUGAUAUGCUUAAAGGUCCAAUGCCACACUGCUUGGAUGCACGAAGAAGGGGAAAAAACAGGUAAUUCCAUCUGCAGGGCUAUGUACUCGCACACAUGGCUCCUUGAGGAAGUAGCAGCAGUGAAGGG